UAGACCGCCUGGGGAGUACGGCCGCAAGGUUAAAACUCAAAUGAAUUGACGGGGGCCCGCACAAGCGGUGGAGCAUGUGGUUUAAUUCGAUGCAACGCGAAGAACCUUACCUGGUCUUGACAUCCACAGAAGUUUCCAGAGAUGGAUUUGUGCCUUCGGGAACUGUGAGACAGGUGCUGCAUGGCUGUCGUCAGCUCGUGUUGUGAAAUGUUGGGUUAAGUCCCGCAACGAGCGCAACCCUUAUCCUUUGUUGCCAGCGGUUAGGCCGGGAACUCAAAGGAGACUGCCAGUGAUAAACUGGAGGAAGGUGGGGAUGACGUCAAGUCAUCAUGGCCCUUACGACCAGGGCUACACACGUGCUACAAUGGCGCAUACAAAGAGAAGCGACCUCGCGAGAGCAAGCGGACCUCAUAAAGUGCGUCGUAGUCCGGAUUGGAGUCUGCAACUCGACUCCAUGAAGUCGGAAUCGCUAGUAAUCGUGGAUCAGAAUGCCACGGUGAAUACGUUCCCGGGCCUUGUACACACCGCCCGUCACACCAUGGGAGUGGGUUGCAAAAGAAGUAGGUAGCUUAACCUUCGGGAGGGCGCUUACCACUUUGUGAUUCAUGACUGGGGUGAAGUCGUAACAAGGUAACCGUAGGGGAACCUGCGGUUGGAUCACCUCCUUACCUGAAAGAAGC
rnacentral:rRNA from 1 species